rnacentral:rRNA from 1 species
CCUACGGGCGGCUGCAGUGGGGAAUAUUGGACAAUGGGGGCAACCCUGAUCCAGCCAUGCCGCGUGUGUGAAGAAGGCCCUCGGGUUGUAAAGCACUUUCAGUGAGGAAGAACGCCUGGUGGUUAAUACCCAUCAGGAAAGACAUCACUCACAGAAGAAGCACCGGCUAACUCCGUGCCAGCAGCCGCGGUAAUACGGAGGGUGCGAGCGUUAAUCGGAAUUACUGGGCGUAAAGCGCGCGUAGGUGGCUUGAUAAGCCGGUUGUGAAAGCCCCGGGCUCAACCUGGGAACGGCAUCCGGAACUGUCAAGCUAGAGUGCAGGAGAGGAAGGUAGAAUUCCCGGUGUAGCGGUGAAAUGCGUAGUGAUCGGGAGGAAUACCAGUGGCGAAGGCGGCCUUCUGGACUGACACUGACACUGAGGUGCGAAAGCGUGGGUAGCAAACAGGAUUAGAUACCCGUGUAGUC